rnacentral:lncRNA from 8 species
GCGGUGGCUCGUCUCCCGCUCCCCGCGCCUCACCCUCGGUGUUCACCGCGCCUCCGCGGGCCGGAGGGGGGAGCGGAGGCCCGGGAUUAGCACCUUAUUAGCUUCACAGGAGGCUUCGCAUUUUUUAAAGCUGACACCUCGACAGCCGCGCCGGGGCUACGUUACCAAUGGGGAAACAUGCACACCGGCUCGACUCCAUGACAAUACACGCUUCAAAAGGCUCAGAGGGAUGAGUGGAUUGUCGAUGGCACGGUCACACACAGCGACACGAAGACUGCUUGGCUCUAAAAAGAUAGAGCUAAAUUGCUUUGGAUUUCAACGAGGUUCCAAAGCCUCCCCUCCUCCGCUGUGGUUUCUGGGAAGUCACCGGGAAAGAGAAUGGUGAGUGUCAAUCUACACUGGUCUAUGACUAUUGUAAGGACAAUGUAGCAAGGAAAAAGGAAAAUUAAGUACAUUUAAAGAGCAAUUUCUGCAUAGUCCAUUUCCUGGUUGCAAAAAUUCUAAUAGUUUGCCUAAUUUCAGUUUAUGUGACUAAACAAGAAAGUAUA